UACAGAGGGGGCAAGCGUUGUUCGGAAUUACUGGGCGUAAAGGGCGCGUAGGCGGCCUUCUAAGUCGAACGUGAAAUCCCCGGGCUCAACCCGGGAACUGCGUCCGAUACUGGAAGGCUUGAAUCCGGGAGAGGAAUGCGGAAUUCCAGGUGUAGCGGUGAAAUGCGUAGAUAUCUGGAGGAACACCGGUGGCGAAGGCGGCAUCCUGGACCGGCAUUGACGCUGAGGCGCGAAAGCCAGGGGAGCAAACGGG
rnacentral:rRNA from 1 species